rnacentral:rRNA from 1 species
GACAGAGGUGCCGAGCGUUAGGCGGAAUCACUGGGCUUAAAGCGUGUGUAGGUGGAUGCCUAAGUACCUUGUGAAAUCCCACGGCUUAACCGUGGAACUGCUUGGUAUACUGGGUGUCUUGAGCCAGCUAGGGGCUACCGGAACAAAUGGUGGAGCGGUGAAAUGCGUAGAUAUCUGGAGGAACACCGGUGGCGAAGGCGGGUCUCUGGGCAGUAACUGACGCUGAGGAGCGAAAGCGUGGGGAGCGGACAGG